rnacentral:lncRNA from 1 species
AUUGAACCCUAUGCACAUAACUAAUAACUUUAGAAGGACUUUAACACUAUGGUAGACUGGAAAAAGAACAUUUAAACAAGCAUCAAAUUUUUGCCUGAAAUGUUCUCAGUUUCUCUCGAUAUUUAUGCAACCUCCUUAAAAUAUUUGGGUUUGGAAAAAGACUUUAACUCCUUCAAACCAGUCCCUAGUUGAUCCUCCAGAGAAGCCAGUCUCGUGUCAACGACAUCAAUAUUUUCCCAUGGAAAUAAGUUACAUGAUUCACGUUCAGGAUUACUUCACGAGAGGAUCAUAAAGAAGGCAAAGAGGAGCUUAAAGGAGAGUAUUCGUAGUACUGAAAUCUUUCAUAACAAAAGGGUCUCGGACAAUUGUGAAGAAGAGGGAAGAAAAAUGGAUUUAGGUUUCAAUCUGUUGCAACUUUUCCCCCAGUGCAAGUGUCCAUCUUUAAAGAGAGUUAUCCUUUAAAAGAUGAAAGUACUUUUGAGAAGAGUCCAAUUUUUGACCUUAUGUUACAAAACCUUGACAAUCAAAGUUUCUUUUCAUUUUCAUUCAAGUACAAACUUAAGUCAUAAUUCCUCUUUUCUUUUGUUUAAAGAGUGUUUAUUGUUGCUCAUUGAUCUUUGGUCGCAAGAAACAAUAAUGCCACCGACAGGUCUGAUCACCAAGGUGGCAGGUUUUGCUUCUUUGCCACACAUUAAGGCCCCCCCCCUUUACAGGGAAUGCCAAUGUACACUGCGUCAAAAUUCCAGCGGCACUUCGUCUUGUGUUUUUUACGGACCUACAUGAUGUAGACUUUCUCAGCUUGUGAGAAGUUGAAGACUUCUUUGGUUCUUGGGCAAAUUACUUUGUCAUCUUGACGAAUAGAAAGCAGAGAAUUGUAUCCAUAGACAUAUCCAUUUGGUAACAUCAUGGGAGGAUUAUUUUCAUUCAUUACAUCCCCCGAAAUCUUGCAGACUAGUCGGGAGUUGGCACAGUGUGCCAUAGGCAGAGGCUGAGCCAGCUUGUUCAGGGAUUUGCUACACACAGGGCAGUCUGGGUUUUUUGAACUCCCAUCCUCUUUAUAGCACUGUGGUGUUUUUAUAGCUGAAAGGCCUGCCUGGAGUGUUAUAGUAAAAACAGAAUUGUUUCCCAGCUGAUGUAGUCUGUAGUUAUCAUAUCUAAACUGCUGUAUCAGCAUUCUCCAUCGAGCGGGGUCCAAGAGAUCCUUAUAGGGGGAGAUAUGAGUGUCUGAAGGAAAAGCCAACAUCCCCAUCACUUGUCGAACCUCAUCCAGCUGGCUUCCCUCAGCCUGACUGAAGUGCUUCCUUGCAUGUCUCACAGCAUCCAGUCUCUUGUUCUGUCGAAUGAGUUCAAUGAACUCCUGAAUCCUUAGGCUGAAUUCCAGACAGCUCUUCAUUUUUCUGAGCCUGGAUUUGUUAUCAUGACACCAAGCCAAGCAAGUCAUAGUCUCUUGUCUUUCCAAUGACUCUUCCACUUCUUUAGCAGUCAAAAACAUCUCAAUAUUUAC